rnacentral:rRNA from 1 species
CAGCCAGACAGGUCCGUCGGGAAAUCCACUCGCUCAACGAGUGGGCGUCCGGCGGAAACCAGCUGGCUUGGGGCCGGAAGACCUGAGGGGUACGUCCGGGGUAGGAGUGAAAUCCCGUAAUCCUGGACGGACCACCGGUGGCGAAAGCGCCUCAGGAAGACGGACCCGACGGUGAGGGACGAAAGCUAGGGUCACGAACCGGAUUAGAUACCCGGGUAGUCCUAGCUGUAAACGAUGCUCGCUAAGUAUGGCACACACUACGAGUGUGUGCUGUGCUGUAGUGAAGACGAGAAGCGAGCCGCCUGGGAA